rnacentral:rRNA from 1 species
ACAAACAAGAGAAAUGCUGAGAAGAAGAAGCUUCACCAUCGCACGGGGUCAGGUGGCUACCUCAUAGCCCGGCCUAAGUGGGCCAAGGCUGAGAAUGAUCUGCUUGAUAAAGGGAUCGAACUAGAGACAAUGAACUGGCCAGAACGUUGCCGGACUUGGUUCUUUGGGGCCGGCGGAUCCUUGGACCCUAUAACAGGGAAGUGCAUUUGGACGGACGAACAAUUGGACAUACCAGUCAAGAGGCUUCAGCAAUAUAUCGAAGCAGCGCAGCAAGGGAUGUUCGUUCCAGACAGGGAGAAGGACGAGCUCACAAUGGCCCUCGGCAAUCCUGAGCACCCUGGACGGACACGAGGCACGCCAGGCUCCGUUUCGUGGAAGGCUGGAUUUCCGGACGUAGGGGGUUACAAAACCCAGGAGAGGAGGAAGAAACUGGAGCAGAGCCAACUGCAGGCGCUGCACGAAAGGGUAAUGGGGCUAGAGGAACGAGAAGCAGAUCGCAGCAAACGACCUGCCGAAGCUACCCCGCCAUCUCAGCGGAGAAGCAGUGUGGCUUCCACCGAGCUGCUUCAGCCAGAGCAUGCCUUGACGGCUCCUGCCAGCUAUCCCGUGGAUGCUAUCACGGAUGCUGAAAAUUGCCACCUUAUGGCGCAAUGGAGCAAUUUGAAGGUCAAGGCGGCUGUU